rnacentral:ncRNA from 2 species
UUAGAAUGGAGAGCGCCAGAUCUGGCUUGAUAACCAGGUGACGAGGGAGAAGCUUAUCGAAUUAUCGGCGGGUGGCUUCAGGGACUGCACUCUACAGGACAGUACAAAGAAUGGCUGUGAAGUCAUAACAAAACACUGGCCAUGCAGAUAG